CAGCUCUUGACAUGGAACGACGAUACUCGGAGACGGGUAUCUCCAGCUUGCUGGCGUUCACACAGGUGCUGCAUGGCUGUCGUCAGCUCGUGUCGUGAGAUGUUGGGUUAAGUCCCGCAACGAGCGCAACCCCCACCUUUAGUUGCCAUCAGGUUAAGCUGGGCACUCUAAAGGAACCGCCGGUGACAAGCCGGAGGAAGGCGGGGAUGACGUCAAGUCCUCAUGGCCCUUAUGGGCUGGGCUACACACGUGCUACAAUGGUGGUGACAGUGGGAUGCUGAGGGGCGACCCCGAGCAAAUCUCAAAAAGCCAUCUCAGUUCGGAUUGUUCUCUGCAACUCGAGAGCAUGAAGUUGGAAUCGCUAGUAAUCGCGGAUCAGCAUGCCGCGGUGAAUA
rnacentral:rRNA from 1 species